GACAGACAGUUCGCUGAAAUAAAUAGAAGGUUCGAAUCAUUGAACACAAGGGUACGAUAUCUGGACGGCAUAACCACUUCACCAACAAUUACUAACAAUCCAGGACAUCU
rnacentral:sRNA from 1 species